AUGGCUCGCAAAAGGCUUAAUGUUGCCCAAAAACGCGUGUUGAAGAAGGCAGCGAGCAAAAAUGCAUGUUUCGUGGUGCAGUCGCUUUCGGAAUUAAAGGUAAAUAUUCCAGAAAUACGCCGCUAAUACUCUAUGCCCAAGGAAGUCAAGGAAAUUUCCUUUACGAAAAGCAUCAACUUGGAAUCGAAUGCAUCCGGCAAGGAAACGAUGUCGGUUCCUACCUAUAACUUCGACCAUCAUUCUGAUGACGAAGACGUCGAUAUGAGCGAAAAACCACCGUUACCGACAUCGCAAAUCACCCGCACUUACCGUCGAAAGAAAUCCGUUGACCAACUGCUACAGGACUGGGAAACUACAACUGCCCCAUGCGAACCCAGCUGCAGUAAUCCUGGACCCUCCAUUCAGAUUGUCCACAUCGAGUCACUCUACGAACAGACCAAUGAAGCUGCUGGAUCAGCUGUUAAUGAAGCGGCUGAUAUCGUCAUUCUGAACCCUCAAACAGAAUGCUCGUGUGGAAAAUCUGAGGACGUUGAUAAAUACAAAGCAUUGGCGGAAUCUCUGCAGAAGGAUAAAGAUGGUUUAAUUUUGAAGAACGCCAAACUGGAGGCCCAAAAUGCGAAGCUGCUGGAUUCGUUGACUUCAAAACUUCUACCGACGCCAGAGAAGCCGUUCAAGGAAGAGGAAGGUUUCAUCGACGGUGAUGCGCUGCAGCGAAUGUCACACGAAGCCGGCGACAAGGAUUAUUUGUUCCUGAAGUUCACCAUGAUGAAGCUUUUUCCAGAAGGACUCGUUGGGCGUUCAGUAACGGGACGUGCGUCGAAUAACCCUUCCGGUCGCCCGAAGAAAAUCGGAGAUGGCAUCUCUCAUGACACCUGUGAACCUACAGGCAACGAAACUCCUCGAGAAACAUUCAAAGCUCCCUUGGAUCCAGAGAAAGUUAAAUGGAUCAAAAGACGACUUUACGACCGCCGUUUGUUCCUCGGAGACGACGCUGCAACCGCAAACGCAUGUUACCGCAGUGCAGGACGCUUGAUGACUCGAAUUAUCGCCAACGCUUCUCGAUAAACAUACUGCAAAGUAGCGGAUUCGAUUUUAUUCAUGGAUAAUGAUU